UAGCUCAGGUGGAUAGAGCAGCGGUUUCCUAAACCGUUGGCCGGGUGUUCGAGUCACNN
rnacentral:tRNA from 1 species